rfam:Enterovibrio pacificus strain CAIM 1920 contig040, whole genome shotgun sequence.
CCGGUCUUUUAACUCAGUUCCUUGCUUCCGCUGGACGACCGGGCCAAGCGUGGAAGCUGAAUAAUCCGUAAGGAGCAACCAAUG